rnacentral:rRNA from 1 species
GAUGAACGCUGGCGGCGUGCCUAAUACAUGCAAGUCGAGCGAACGGACGAUAAGCUUGCUUCUCUGAUGUUAGCGGCGGACGGGUGAGUAACACGUGGAUAACCUACCUAUAAGACUGGGAUAACUUCGGGAAACCGGAGCUAAUACCGGCUAAUAUUUUGAACCGCAUGGUUCAAAAGUGAAAGACGGUCUUGCUGUCACUUAUAGAUGGAUCCGCGCUGCAUUAGCUAGUUGGUAAGGUAACGGCUUACCAAGGCAACGAUGCAUAGCCGACCUGAGAGGGUGAUCGGCCACACUGGAACUGAGACACGGUCCAGACUCCUACGGGAGGCAGCAGUAGGAAAUCUUCCGCAAUGGGCGAAAGCCUGACGGAGCAACGCCGCGUGAGUGAUGAAGGUCUUCGGAUCGUAAAACUCUGUUAUUAGGGAAGAACAUAUGUGUAAGUAACUGUGCACAUCUUGACGGUACCUAAUCAGAAAGCCACGGCUAACUACGUG